UGAGGAAUAUUGCACAAUGGGCGAAAGCCUGAUGCAGCAACGCCGCGUGAGCGAAGAAGGCCUUUGGGUCGUAAAGCUCUGUCCUUGGGGAAGAAAAAAAUGACGGUACCCUUGGAGGAAGCCCCGGCUAACUACGUGCCAGCAGCCGCGGUAAUACGUAGGGGGCGAGCGUUAUCCGGAAUUAUUGGGCGUAAAGAGUGCGUAGGUGGUCUUGUAAGCGUGGGGUGAAAGGCAGUGGCUUAACCAUUGUUAGCCUUGCGAACUGUGAGACUUGAGUGCAGGAGAGGAAAGUGGAAUUCCUAGUGUAGCGGUGAAAUGCGUAGAUAUUAGGAGGAACAUCAGUGGCGAAGGCGACUUUCUGGACUGUAACUGACACUGAGGCACGAAAGCGUGGGGAGCAAACAGG
rnacentral:rRNA from 2 species